ACAUGUGAGUUCCUACACCUAACAAGAAAUAAGACAAAAGGAAAAAUCCUAUACAAUGACCUUUCAUUCACGUUUUUGCUGGAUUUUGUGUUUCGCCUUGGUUUUACUUCUAGGUGUAGGAUUAGCAAUAGGUGAUCCUCGUGAAAAAGUCUGCAUCGGGAGAUGCGAUAAGUCUCGAACGUGCGGUGUAGAUUGCAUUUUGGAUGGCUUUCAGAAAGGUGGCGCAUGUGCUGGAGAGAUAGAACAGUUUUCAUUUUGUUGUUGUAAUAUAUAAUGAAUGAAAUAUUGUAGCACCCUUUAAUACAUUCCAAAUAAAUAAAAAAGGUUAUCCCUCCUUUGUACCAAAAA